GGAUGGAGGGAAGGAAAAAGGGAGGAGGGAGGGAGCACAGGGAAAAACUGGAUGGCACCUCUCCAAGUGCGUUCCAAGUGUGUUAGUGUCAGGUUCCGUGGAACAUUUCUGGGGACACACUGUCUGAAAACCAGAGCCAACAGAAGCAAUCAGAGCCAACAACACUGUGGUCUUUCUGAAUAUCUGAGACAAAGGACACUGGCAAUGCUGGGGACACCUGAAGCUGGAGAACCCAAUUUCAGUUCAGGGUCUUCCUUUCCCUUGAGGCCACGGAGCACACGGAGCCGACUGAGCGCAAGGAGCACAUGGGUCCCUUUCUGUGUGCUUUGCAGCAGGGUGGUGCUAUGCAGCCCAGGCAGGACUUGAACUCCGAUCCUCUUGUCUCAGUCUCCCAAGUUUGAGAUCGUAGGUGUACAACAUGACACCACCACACAACCGGGUUUAAAAAAAAUGUUUUAGUGUCUGGCUCAGCAGGAUUCUCUCAGAUGUUCUCAAAGGUUCUUCAGACUAGGAAGAAGAUAAAGCUGAAACCAGAAGAAAGAGUUGCUAAUAGCCCAUGGAUGGACCAAUCCUUUAACCCCAGAGGCUUCUGGGAGUGGAGAGCUGGGCAAAAUAAAGCAAAUAAUAAAAUACAGGAGGGCCCCUGGCCCAGGGCGGUGGAGGUGAUGGGAGUUGGAGUCACUUGCCUGUCAGGACCUAUAUCAACAUGUCAGCCACUUGGACAAACAAGCGUUGCGAGGGGAAAUAUUUCAGAUAAACAGACACGAUGUUAUGACAUAUCACCCCCCCGCCCCCAACCCUGGAAAAGGGGGUCGGUCAGAGACCAAGGAGAAGAAGAAAGGAAGCAACGCCAUGCGGAGAUCUGUUUUCCCUGGCUUGAGGCCCCGGAGGGUCAGCUGUAAAUAAAAUAGGUUUUUCAUUA